rnacentral:rRNA from 1 species
CUGGCUCAGGAUGAACGCUAGCUACAGGCCUAACACAUGCAAGUCGAGGGGCAGCAGAUCGAAAGCUUGCUUUGAUGCUGGCGACCGGCGAAUGGGUGAGUCACGCGUGUCCAACCUGCCCUGUGCCCGGGGAUAGCCCUUGGAAAUGAGGAUUAACACCCGAUAGGUGGCGCUUCCGCAUGGCGGCGCCAUGAAACCGACACAGGAUGGGGACGCGUCGGAUUAGCUUGACGGCGGGGCGACGGCCCACCGUGGCGACGAUCCGCAGGGGUUCUGAGAGGAAGGUCCCCCCACACUGGCACUGAGACACGGGCCAGACUCCUACGGGAGGCAGCAGUGAGGAAUAUUGGUCAAUGGCCGAGAGGCUGAACCAGCCAAGUAAGCGUGCAGGACGACGGCCCUACGGGUUGUAAACUGCUUUUGCGGGAGGAUAAAGGACGCCACGUGUGGCGUUUUGCAGGUAUCCCGUGAAUAAGGACCGGCUAAUUCCGUGCCAGCCGCGGC